rnacentral:lncRNA from 1 species
GUCUUUCCAUUUUGGUGCAAUGGGACGAUCAGCACAUGGUACCUGCUGUUGCCGUAGGCUAGCUAGGUAAUAUGGAUCCAAAACAUUUUGGUGCAAUGGGACGAUCAUAACUCACACGCAUCGUGCAGCUGUAUGUAUCAAACAAAAUGACAAACAUGGAUGAUGAUGAUGAAAUGAGUCUUGAGAUCAGAGUGUUGUUGAUAUGUUGGAAGUCACAGCUUUGUUUGUCCAACCGAAUAACAUGCAUCCGGGCAAACCAUUUACUUGAUCUAAUUCUAGCGUUUUGAAGAUAUUUGCUCGAAGCCAUCAUUGCUGAUGCUCAACUAGUCCCUUUGACAAAAGCCCUAACCAGUAGCCUUAAUAAUAUACUAAAUAACAGCAUGAUACACCGGGGGUUUCUGAUCGUUAGGAACAGAAAAGGAAUUACUAGCUACUCCGUAGUAAAUUUCAUUGCACACUUGAUAGAGCCAAUGACACAUGCAUUCUUUGGUCCUAACAUCUUACACUGAUAAAGAGUAGUGAAAUCAUCCCCAGCAUCAGAAGGAAAAUAAAAACAGUGAAAUCAAGCAUGUAACAGUGUCACAUGCAUGCUCUGCAACAUAGAUAAACCAAGCUAAGCUCUUGCGGAGCCAUGAUUGACAGAUCGAGCUCGCAAUCUCAUAAGUACAUAGCAGUACCAAAUGUUUCUUGCAUACUCAUCAAGCUAAUAGACCCAAAUCUAGUGAUCGACUACUACUAAGUAGUAACUGCAGGGAGGGAUCCAUAGUAUAGAGAGUCCCGUAGCAGCUCCGGAUUCCGGCUCAGGCCAUGCCUGCUUAUUCCUGCGCUGCAGCUCCUCUAGCUACCAUCUAGCAACCGCCACAGCCUCCCCCGCCACCGCCACCGCCACAGCCCCCUCCGUCACCGCCCCCUCCGCCGCAACAAGCACCACCGCGGCACCGCCUCCGCUAGAUGAAGCUACAGCUGCCGCAGCAAGAAAGAGGGCGCUAUUACCGUCGGCUGAUGUGGUCCACCGUCCACGACGAACUUGCAGUGGUCGCCGCCGCCCGCGGUGGCGGUGCCCUGCUGGCCUUCUUCUUCUCCGGCCUGUUGCCGCAGAGGAGGACCAUGACAGAUAUGGCCACCACCCCCAGCAGCAGAAGGAGCCACGGCGUCUGCUGCUCCUGCGUGCCCAAGCCCGCAGCAGCAGCGGAGGCCAGAAGAGCUCGCUUCAUUCUGCUAUGGUCCCUCCCUGGCCUCUACCACUGGAUAUCUCUCACGAAUUUGAGUUUGGAUCAAGUGCAGCGCAAGAUUUGAGGAGGAAAACAGAGUAGCGAGGGAGAGAGAGAGAGAGAGGAAGAGGGGAUACUGCAGGAACCCACGGCUCUCUCUGAAACCCCGGCCGUGAAUAAGGAGUCGAGGGCUCGACGCUAUUUUUCUUUUCAUUUUUUUGAGUUGAAGGGCGCGACGCUAGUAAAUUCCUCCUACUUUUUUUUGAGACAAAAUUCCUCAUAGUUGACGCCGACGCCUGCGGUCGUUCGCUGCUGGGUCGCAACCCAAGUUGGCGUUUUGUCAGCUUCCCAGUGGUUUUAUUGAUUUUAUUUUGCGGUUAUCUGUGACUUUUUCACUGUGUGUCCGGUUUUCUAUGGUUUUUUUUCCUUCCUUUUCUUUUCUUUUCUUUUAUUUUUCCAAUUUUCUUUUUUAUCCAUGUCUUUCCUUUUUUAAAUGCAAAUGCAUGGUGAAUAUAUUUUUAAUACACGGUGAUUUUUUCAUACACAUUGAACAUUUUUUUAUAUAUGUUGAGCCUUUUUAAUGCAUGGUGAACUUCUUAAUAUACAAUGAACUUUAUUAUAUAUAGUGAAUUUUCUUAAUAUCUCUUUUGAAAAGUAAAAGGGGUGGAGUAAACCUGUUUUUAUUUUCUUUGCUUUAGUUUUUUUUCUCUAUCUAGAAGUGGAAUAGAAUAAUCCGGUUGAAGGGUAAUGAUCAUAAGUCGACAGAGCAAUAAGCACUAGGGUAUCCACCCGCCCGCCGGUUCGAAUAGCCGGUUUCCUCCCCUUCCGCUCAAGCUAAAGGUUCUGGGCUACGGCUUCCGGUUCGGACACUGAAUAAUGAGAGAAUCGUAGAAGUUAUCGGAAGUACUGAUUUUUUUUCCAAUAUAUGUUGACCAUUUUUUUAAUUAUGAUGAUUUUUACAAUUAUAUGGUGAACUUUUGAAAUAUAAUGUUAUUUUUUAAUAUACAUUGAGGUUUUAUUUUACUAUGCAAUGAACUCUUUUUUAAUGGAUGAUGAAUUUUUAAAAAUAUACGGUAAUCUAUUUUUUAUAUACAAUAACUUUUUAAAUGGAAGGUUUACUCUUCUUAAGACCUAUUGAACAUUUUUAAAUAUUUCUUAAUUUUUUAAAUAUGUUUAUAUAUUAGAUCCGUGAAACAAUAUCCAACAGGCGAGUUCUCAAAAAAUUCAAAUUAAAAACGAACGAUAAAAACAGAAGAAGAAAAACUUGCUCAAGUGAGCUUGCUAUAGUGGGCCACCCCAUUUUGCGCCUUCCUCAAGUGUGGUUCCCCCAUUUGACUCCAACAUGUGUCAACCAGGAGGUCUCGUCGAGGCUAAGUCUUUACGUUGCACAUGUCACUGGGUCAUAGCAGUGAUUGGGUCUACGUAUCCUCUUGGCUCGGGCCGAACCUUUUGGAGUAGAACAGAUGGAAGUAGUCGACACGACAUCCUUCCCCUUGAACGAAGCUCAAAGUAAUCUUCCCAAGAUGCCAGUGAUGUCGACUGUGAAGACCACUUGGCGAGGAAUGUCGAAGUUGCCGCGACAGACAAUAUGGCAUUUCAAUACACAAUACUUGCUCUGGAACUGGAGGCAGUAUGUUAGGAGGUAGUUGCGCUGGCAAGACUGGUUCGGCCAUGGAUGAAGGUGGCAGUAUUUCACGGAGCAGGAAGACAUGGAAGACUGGGUGGAUACAACUUGUCUCUGCGAACUUGAGGUUGUACGAGACAUUAACCAAUUUGACCGAAAUAGUCCAAAUUAUUGAAUAGAAAGUUUAUGGUUAGCAUGUUUAGUGAUGGAGAUUUUAACAUAAGGCUGCAGCUUGAGGUAAACCAAGUUGCCAACUCCAAAAGUGCGGUCGGGGCGUUUCUUGUCCGCUUGUCCCUACUUCCUCUGGUUUGCUAAGAAAAAGUGUUGUUUCAGUAGACUGGCCACUAAUUUUCAUUCUUGCAUCCAUGACGCCAGCUCAGGAACUUCACAUAGUGAAGGAUCUACAACCCCGAAGUGUUUGGAGGACGACCAUAUAAAACUUCAAAAGGUGAGAUCACCAAAGUGGACUUGUACGAGGUAGUGUACCAGUAUGCCGCCAGAUAGAGCCAUUCAAACCACUUGUGCGGGCAGUUGGCGACAAAACAACAUAAAUAAGAUUUGAGGCAUUGAUAAAUCCUCUCUGUGGUGUCAUUCAUCUAUGAAUGAUAAGCAAAGGACAUCAUAAACUUAGUGUCAACAAGCAAAAACAAAUCACGCCACAGGUUGCUUGUAAAGACCCGAUCUCGAUCAAAAACAAUAGCUUGGGGCACCCUUGGAGCUUGGACACAUUCUGCAUGUAAGUGUGUGUGACACUUGUGCAGCUGUGAGAGGAUGCUUCACUGCAACAAAGUGGGCAUACCUAGACAAGUUGUCAACAAUAACCAUAAUGCAGGUGAUAAGUUCCUAUAUAAGUUCUAGUUAACAAAGUGGGUUGGAAGUUCUGGACCUCAGAACACAAAACAAAUCACAGACGAGUAAAUUCGUAUAUCAGUUCUUUAAUCAGCAUGAUAUUCCAUUCCGAAAAAGGGUUUCCCCCCGCUUUGUAUACAAAGCAACCAACCGAACCAUACAUGAAUAGGUGCUGGGGCGGAAGCAGCACAGUCACGCCCAAAAGAAACGACAGAGAAAAGCAAAAGAAACAAAUGCCGAAAACGGCGGAUCAACAAAACGAAGAAGCCUCGCGAUCGCAGCGCCCACCAGAAUCUUCCACUAGACUCCAAGACUCCGAAGCGCCGGCACCUAUCAACACCUUCAAGAAGGAUCGCGACGAUGACGACACUGCUGCUAAGGGUUUCCCCCGGUACACGACGAGGCGAGAGGAAGGGUAGCUCCGACGCCCUCCCGGAAGGUCAGGUGGCACCCACAAGCGCCACCGCGUCGGCGUUGGCCAUGCCAACAGGGGUUUCCCCCGAUCCCAACCCGCACCUCGGGCGCCCCGGAGCCUGCCACCAAACCAACCACCAUCGUGCGCCAAUGCGGUCUUGAGGCCCCCACGCCGUCUCACCACGGCACCACGAAGUGAGGAUAGCACGCCGAAGAAUCAGAGCCGGGACUAGGGCAUCAGCACCAUCGGCACGCGGGAGGGCCCCACCUCCACCGUCCGCGACGGUAGCCGUCCGCGACGCAAUAGCGGGAGCACACCAGGCCCGUGGGCCCACUGGCCCGGCCGAGCCCUCGUGGGCUCGCAAAGCUCCCGCCUUCGCGCUGCUGCCGGCACGCCGGCGGUGCCGCCGCCCCAAUCCGAGCCGCUCUUCCUCCUCACCGCGCCGCAGACAACGAGGCUACGCCCAGGGACCGGCCCGCUAGGACCCAGAUGGGGCCCUAAGGGCCCAGAUCUGGGCCGAGGACGCGCCGCCGGCCACCCUGCGCAACCAGGCCGCCCCGCCGCCAAAGGACGGCGCCACCACCGCGACGGGCCGCCGCCAGCCAUCUCCAGGCCGCCGGGCCGCCGCCAGCCGAGNNNNNNNNNNNNNNNNNNNNNNNNNNNNNNNNNNNNNNNNNNNNNNNNNNNNNNNNNNNNNNNNNNNNNNNNNNNNNNNNNNNNNNNNNNNNNNNNNNNNNNNNNNNNNNNNNNNNNNNNNNNNNNNNNNNNNNNNNNNNNNNNNNNNNNNNNNNNNNNNNNNNNNNNNNNNNNNNNNNNNNNNNNNNNNNNNNNNNNNNNNNNNNNNNNNNNNNNNNNNNNNNNNNNNNNNNNNNNNNNNNNNNNNNNNNNNNNNNNNNNNNNNNNNNNNNNNNNNNNNNNNNNNNNNNNNNNNNNNNNNNNNNNNNNNNNNNNNNNNNNNNNNNNNNNNNNNNNNNNNNNNNNNNNNNNNNNNNNNNNNNNNNNNNNNNNNNNNNNNNNNNNNNNNNNNNNNNNNNNNNNNNNNNNNNNNNNNNNNNNNNNNNNNNNNNNNNNNNNNNNNNNNNNNNNNNNNNNNNNNNNNNNNNNNNNNNNNNNNNNNNNNNNNNNNNNNNNNNNCGGCCAGAUCCGGGGGCGCCGGCGGCGGCGGCGGGGGGGAGGGGCACGGGGGAGGAGGAAGGAGAGGCGAGCGGGGGGAGCCGCCCCGGCCGCCCCCCGGGGAGGCGGCGCGGGCGCGGGGUCGGGGGAGGGGAGGGGAGGGAUCGUGCCACGUAUUCUCACGCAGAGCUUUUACAAUCUCUUCCGCAUGAUAUUCCAUUCGCUAAGUUGAUCGGCAAUGCAUACUACAGUGAUAGCCAAGUGACAACUUUCCCUACUAAAGUUGUCUCAUUCUGGCGGAAAGACCAUUGCUCUAUACCCAAUGAAUUUAAGGCUAGGACCAUUUGAGUUUCAAAAAAAAAAGGCUAGGACCAUUUGCAAUAUAUAAAAAGGUAACAUUGUUAAGUUACGAUACGACAAAUGGCAUGAUGACAAGUUUCUGGUAAUAUAUCCUCAGCUAUUUUCAUUUGCGAAAGACUUUGGUUAUGCACAUGUAUAUGUUAUGACUGAUUUAUAUGACAUAUUCCAUCUUCCAAUGUCUUCGAGUGUUGUUCAUCAAAGUUUGGAGCUACGAGAGCUGCUAAUUAGCAUCUAUGAUACUUAUGUUACUGGUACUUGGAAUUCUACUGGUCUAGCAAUAAUACUCCACCAAAAGGAUAUGCAUUAAACUAGUUGGAUAUGGAAAUAAGCCACCCACCCCUCUGCUUAGGCAGACAAUAUGAUUUCGAGAUCCAUUGGAAAAGCUUAGGAGAUCGCCACGGCCCAGGGAUCGGUCGUCCCAUUUUUUCCGUUACCUAUGUGCGCACACUAGCGACCCAGGAGUAAAAUCAGGAACCAAACGGGUGGAGGAAAAACAAAACUUAUAAUUUGGAAACCACUCAAAAGCUUACACACCUAAUNNNNNNNNNNNNNNNNNNNNNNNNNNNNNNNNNNNNNNNNNNNNNNNNNNNNNNNNNNNNNNNNNNNNNNNNNNNNNNNNNNNNNNNNNNNNNNNNNNNNNNNNNNNNNNNNNNNNNNNNNNNNNNNNNNNNNNNNNNNNNNNNNNNNNNNNNNNNNNNNNNNNNNNNNNNNNNNNNNNNNNNNNNNNNNNNNNNNNNNNNNNNNNNNNNNNNNNNNNNNNNNNNNNNNNNNNNNNNNNNNNNNNNNNNNNNNNNNNNNNNNNNNNNNNNNNNNNNNNNNNNNNNNNNNNNNUUUGGAUUUUGGACUUCAAAUCUAUGUAACCAAAGAUAAUCAUAAACUGAAAAUAAAAGACAAUGUGUAUGUAUCAUACCUAUAGUACAUAGAUGUGAGAAAACACGAUUUUUUACUUCAAAUUGUUUUUUUUUUGCUUUUUCUGUACAACUAGUGGUAAUUGAGAUACAUUGAACACUACAAAAUAACACGAUAAUUUCACUCUUUGUAUUUUUAUUAGUUUUAAUCAUCCAGUUUAUAAUUCUUAGACAAUAUCUCUAUAACUCUCCCUCUCAUGAUUUUUCUUUCCAUCUCUUUAGCACCACACUUAAAUUUCAAUUUUGAAACAGUAAUCAUCAUUAGCAAAGAGAUGGAAAAUUUUGUCAAAUUUAUAUCAUUUAUCAAUCAUGUAAUCAGCACCUAAAACUAAUAUGUUGCCUUAUGUGCUCGCUAAUAGUGGGACAUUUAUCGGUGCCCAAUCUUCAAUUUUCAAGUCGCUGGUUUACAUGAAUGUGCUCUUAUGAUGAUGGCACAUGCGUAUCUAUUUUACUAUGUGUUUUGUUAACGAAUUUGCAGGCUGUUUGUGAUAAAAUUGUGCAUUGUACGCAUGCACGAUGGGCAAUACUCCCUCCGUUCAUGAUGUAUUAAGUUUGAUCAAACCAUGAUCUAAGGUUUCUGCACCAUCACCCCUACUAUGAUGGCAGAUCAUCGUGCGGGGAGGCCCCUACUAGUGUUCGUCCUACCUAUAGGAGCUGUACUUUUUCCCCGUCUCGAUGUUGUAGGAAGAAACCCCUACUAGUGUUAUGCUCUAAACCUUUUGUAGUGCAGAUUUGAGACGCCCAUCACUAGUAACUCAUCAUUGGCGAUUGGUGACCAAUUACGGGCAACAUAGCAAUGAUGGGUGGUCGAGAAGUGCCCGGUGGCCUUAUUAGUGACAGGUGAUCUGAAAGUGCCCAGUGGCCUUAACAGUGACAUGGUCCGACACUUGCGCCUGUCACUGGUGUUAUUUUGAGUUUUGAACAAUAAAUAAUGCAUAUUUAAUCUUAGUCAGGAAACAAAUUUAAUUCCAUUUCGCCAAAACAACACAAAAAAUAAUUUGAUUCCAUUUCAUCGUAACAACACAAAUAUAACCUUCAUUAGAUGCAUUCCUUUUCAUAAGAAAAUACAAAAAUUUACAUUAUUUCUUUGGAGGAGAUAUACAUGACUAGACUAGCUUAGCGGGUCGAAGGAAUGGGGAUGAGAUGAAAUCUUGCCCUAAACCUCGACAGAUCGAAGCAAAGGGUAUUUUUGUAAUCCUAACCUCGUCGAAAGAAGGAAAGGAGUAGGGUAUAUAUGGUGAAAAACACACCACCAAAGCAUAACACCCCCUCCCCCGCGCACGCGCAAAUGGAAGACCAAGAAAUGACAUCACCUCCAAAUAAUGAAUCAUGCUAUUUGUCAGCCUAUUUGGAGGAGGUGUAGGACCAAGAGCUGACAAACCCUAAUAAACCCCAACAGUUAGCCAUUGUGAGAGGCGUGUCCUGGUAUAGUCAUAAUUCCAGUAGGUUGACACAAGCGUUGAUCACAUCUUCAUCUCCCUCGGACCACCGGAUGUUUACCUAUAACAGCGUAAACACAUCAAACAUUUUUUUGAAUAAGAACAACAAAACGUAUCAGGUAUCUUCUAUUAAUAUAUAUCUUUACUAAAACAUUUGUUUGUAGAUAUACUAUUAAUUACCAUUAGCAUUAAAGUAUCUUUAUUCAAAUAGUAUCUUACAACGUUAGUCUGAGGUAUAUUUACUAAUACAAUAGCUUAUAGAUUUAGUAUUAAGUUUCUUUACUAAAAAAUACUCCCUCCGUCCCAUAAUAUAAGAGCGUUUUUGAAACAACACUAGUGCCAAAAACGCUCUUAUAUUAUGGGACGGAGGGAGUAGCUUAUAUCUUAUACUGAGUAUCUUUAAUAAAAUCGAAUCAAGUUUAGUUAUUUAUUGAAUUAUAGCUUAUAGCAAAUGUAACUAUCACUAUUGUUUUGCACCAAUGGGCGAGACAAGUGAUAUACUUCUUUCCCUCCCACACCACACACACACAAUGAACUCUCUCCCACUCACUAGUACAUGGAUAUAUUUUCAUUCUUACAUUUGAAACAACUGUAUACAUUGAAAUAAAUCUCAAAUAAAUAUUACGCUUGAACGUGUGUCUUUAUUUGGAUGAUAUCCUCAAAAUAAGCCUAAUAUCGAAUAUGCUUUUGACAAUUUUGAAACACGGCGAAACUUAUAGGAAAUGACCCGAAGCACAAGAAACACAAUGCAACAUUAUGGUACACACUAGAAAACAUUAUAAUGGCUCCAAAACACAAUGAAAUCCAAAAGCAUUGUGUGAAACACAAUGAAACAUUGUGGUGCCAACUGAAGAAGUCAGAAAAUUAAGGCGACACAGAAGUACACAACCAAAUAUUACAAUACACCCCAAAAUACGGUGAAACCCAACCAAAUUGGUUGAAGCAUACCGAAAGACAAUGAGGCGUUGUAGUACACACCAGAUUAAGGCAGCACACCGACACAAAAUGAAACAUUAUGGUGCGCUCUAAAACAUGAUGAAACCCAGGGAAAAAGAGAUAAUCUAUCACUCUUAUAUUAUAGGAAGUUGAAUUUGUGUGUUACAUGUUAGACGGUGCACUAAAUAUAAACCACUGUCCAUAUGAAUAGUUAAAAAAAUAGUGCAUUUUUGUUGUGCAUAAAUUAUUUUAUUAAAUAUUUAAUUUUGGUAUUGUUUCAAGACAAUUGUUGAACAAAAAUGUGAAUCAAGCUUAGCUUUUGUUACAAAAGAUAUCAUGCAUCUAAUUUUCAAAUGAAAUUCAAGUAGUUGUGGGCUGUGGCUACCUUAGAGAGAGAAUCUGGCUUGGUUGAUACUAGCUAGGAAAUAUAAUAGCAGAUGGUAGAAUGUUAGGUGAGAGAAAGCACUAUGCAUAUGCCAAGGAAGCAUGCAACGGUGGAUCCAUGCACGAACCAGUCUCUCCACCUUAAUUAUGCACAACAACGGUGGUGGGGCACUUCCAUAUGAAUGUCCAAGCCACUGAAAAGAUAAGGCUGCAGUAACUAGCUAGUGUUUGCUGGCACUUCUCACAUCGCAUUUCAUCUUUCCAUUUUGGUGCAAUGGGACGAUCAGCACAUGAGGCCUGUUGUUGCUGUAGGCUAGGUAACAUGCAUCAAAAACAUUUUGGUGCAAUGGGACGAUCAUAACUCACAUGCAUCCUACAGUUGCAUCUAUCAAACAAAAUAACAAACAUGGACCGUGAGUCCAUGUCCAUGUCUCCAUGAUGAUGAUGAACAUGAGUGUUCACAUCACAGUGUUGAUGAUAUCUUGAGGACAAAACUUUAUUCAUCCAAUCAGGUAGAUACAUACUAUCUGGAUUAGGUGACCUAUUCCUCAACUCCCCCUAUCCCUUGGCGGCUAGGGCAAGCUCUUCCCUCCAGACCUUGGUGGAGAGCCCGUCGAUUUGCCUAAUAUCGGCCUGCUGCCUCGGCGGACGAUUGCGGAGAGGGGAAUCCCGGUGGCUCCACCCUGGUUAGUAGUUUAGGUUAGGGGUUUUCAGUCCUCACAGCUGCGGCACUUGGGCGGAUGGCAGCGCUUCUUCGAGUUUGUCUUUGGGGCUUCGAUCCUCCUCCACUUCUUCUUUCUGGACGUAGUCGACGGAGCUCUGGUGUAGAUUCUUAUUGUUUCCUUGGGGUGGUGAGGUUAGUGUUUCUCAUCGUGUGACGAGAUUUGAUGUCAGGUACUUCAAAUCUAUUCCCGCGUUCAACGGCGACAACUGCGGCUCCUGAGCACUUGUCCUUAGGGGAACGGUCCCAAACACUUCUUGGCUGUCAUCUACAAGGUCAAGCCAGCUUUCCUAGGGGAGCGGCGAUAGAGGCGCGUCCGCGGCUCGUUCUGGCAACGGUAGUGAUCGUUCAGUGGUCUUAAAAUCUCAAUGUAUUUUUUUUACUAUGUUUGAGGUGCUUUGUACUUCCAAUAAACUUUGAUGAUAGAUCGGGGUCAUUUUCGCAACAAAAAAUAUAUAUUCAUCCAACCGGAUAACAUGCAUCCGAGGGAACCAUUUACUUUAUCUAAUUCUAGCGUUGAACAUAAUUACUUGAAGCCAUCAUUACAUAAUUACUUGACAUCACUAUGGAUACUCCCUCCGUCCCAAAAUACUGGCCAGGGACGAUGCGGGCGAUGCGGGCGACAUCCGGGACGGCCGCGUCGGGCCGGCCGCUGGCGACCUCCGCCGUGGGUUGCGCCGGAGGUAGGUUUUGGGCACUCGCGGAUGCAGAUCCUGAGGACGACGACGACGACGACCUCGCCGGAGGGUCCCCGCAAGCCUACUCGCCGACGCCUUCAUCGGUGAUCUGCGAGGCUUUUGAUCCUGGGUAUUCGGAAGAAGAAGUGGCGGCCAUUGUCGACGACAUUGUUCCGGUUGACGAUCCUGCGCGACAAGGUUUGGGACGGGAGGACAAGGUCGAGAUCGUGCGACGUAUGGUUCACCGGCGGACGACGGCGGGGGCUAUUCGGCCAUGGAAGGGCCCGAUCCCGAAGGUAUGUCUCCCGAAACCUACUUUGUCUGAUUUCAUUACGGAGGACUCCUGGAUUGUGGUCAAGAAGAGAAGGCCGCGGCGAAGAUCGGCGGCGAGGCUGCCGGCGCCGGCGGACGGCAGAAACGGCGACGUCCGACGUGAUCGGAUCGCGCGUUUGAAAUUGUUGUUUCAUGGGCUGCAACCGAACGAGGGGUCGGCCGGCCCAAUCGCUGCACCUAUGGGCCAAACUUGUAAUGUCCAGGUGGGUUCGGGACUAGCUGGGUUGUGUACCCAGGCAAAACCGGCCCAUCUUGGAGAGCUGGAGUUAGUUUCGGGUCGAGGGGAUUCACAUGCACGUUCGUCGAUCCACGAGCGCGCUAGGGUUCGCCGCCGGGGUCUCUGUGGUUUCCCCUCGGCUCUAGUUCGGAGGAUCAGGAGGGUUUCUGCGACUGCUGCUGCCUGUAUGCCGCCCAAGGGUCCGCCGCCGGCAAGGGGGGCGCCGACCACGGCGAAGGCGCCCGCGAGAGCUGCGCCUGGCGGGCCGGCUGUUGUUGGGGCUGGCGCAGUUGCGGCUGCAGCACCGGCAGCGGCUGCACCACCGGCAGCAGCUGCAACUCCGGCAGUGGCUGCAGCACCGGCUGCGGUUCAAGCACCGGCGGCAGCUGCUCCGGUCGCUGCCAGGGCGGGGGUGCCGCCUACUCAUGCGGGCGCACCACAGCCGCACCGUCCCUGGCCUAGGCAAAUGGCUGCUGGUCAGGGUGGCGCUCCUAACGGGGUUGCCGGCCGUGGUGGUGCCGCCUUUGGUGCUGCCGGCCGUGGGACGGGUGCUUUCGCGGGAGAUCACCGCAAUCCUCCCCGUGGUCAAUGGGGAGAUGAUGGCUACGACGCGUAUGGUCAGGGACUGCACCGAGGUUCGUCGUCCACAGGUGGUGGGCGAGGUUAUGCUUGGAAUGAUCAGGGUCAUGCUGGCCAGGGUUUUCAGGGACCGCCGGGGAAUUUCGUCGAGGGCGCGGUUGGCCCCAGCCGCUUCCGAGGGCGCUUCCGUGGUGGGCGAGGACGCUUCCGGGGUGGACGUGGUGGGCGUACUUUGCCCGGUGCCGACUCGGACCUUUCUGACAUGGCCACUGAUGAGGCGUCUCUGAACCAGACGGUGGUGGAGACGGCUAAAGCUCUUGCUGAUGUGGUUGUCCCGAUGGUACCACAGUCGGAGGAUGCUACGUCUGAUAAAGGCUCAGAGAAGGCCGGAGGUGACAAGCUGUCUAAGUGGGCGGCUAAGAAGAAGAAAUUAGUUUGUUUCCGCUGUGGGGAGACGGGUCACUUCAUGGUGGACUGUUCUGCUGAGUUAUGUGAGAUUUGUCGGAAACCUAAGCAUGUGGGGGCUGAGUGUCCGCUUCUUCUCGGGCCCAAAACGACGCUUAAUAUCUACGGGCUAUGUUGCUCUGAGUUGAUGUUCUUUGAGUCACCAAGUGUGGCUUCGAUGACUCCGGUAGUUGAAACCUCCUUCCCUGGGGUGGUCAAAGUGGUCACCGGACCGCUCACCGAAGCCCAGAUUAUUCAGCAGUUACGGGAGUUGGCUCCAGGAAAUUUCAACUGGUCCUUGUUGAAGCUUUCUGAUAAUUCUUAUAAAGUGGAUUUUCCAUCUAAAGAGGAUCAGAAGAGGAUCCUCAAGUUUGGCAUGAGUCGAGUUACUGGAACUAGCUUUGUGUUGCAGUUUGAUGAGUGGAAGAAGAAGGAGCCGCAGGGCACAUCACUGACUCAGAUCUGGGUUCGCUUUUCGGGGGCACCGUCCGAACCAUUGGAUGAUUUUUUUGUCACGUGGAGCUUGGGGUCCUUGCUCGGUAAGACUGAGCAGGUGGACAUGCCUUUUACUCGUGCUCACGGUGUUGCUCGUCUGUUGAUUAGCGUGGCCAACAUUCAGUUCUUGCCAGAUGUGGUCAGAUGGUGUUAUGAGGGGUUUGCUUACAUGUUGAAUGUCGAGUAUGAGGACCCGGACUUGUUUCAGGAUUUUGAGGAGUUGCUACCUAUGGAUACCUCUGAGGGGGGUGGCGCUUCUGGGCACCGGGGAGAGGAUGCACCCGGUGACGGUGACAGGGAUUCCAGGCCCGUGGAAUCGCCUAAACCAACUGAGUCUGCUAGGGGGAAAACUACGGGCUCGGCACCAUCCAAUAUGCUUCAGCUUGGUUCUGUUGGGGCUUUCUCUGCACCUUCGCGUCUUUGGAGUGAUCGUGUGGAGUUGGAUGAUCCGUCUGAGCACGUGCCACCGGUGAUGCCGGAGGAUUUGACGACUUUGGAGGACAGACUGACUGUUCAGGAGGUGCUUCCUUCUCCGUCACCACCUGUUCCGCGGCUGGACUUGACUAUUCUGGACGACUCGGUGGAGCUAGCCAGGAGUAUGGUCAGGACCAGCGCUGCUCUUUCGCUCACCUCGGCCCGGAAGGCCGUGGACGGGUCCAGCAGGCAUGAGGUAUGUGUGCCGCUUUCGCCGUCCUUGCCAGCAUCAGAUGUAGCUUCUGACUUGCGUGGGUCGGGUGCUGGUUGCUUGCAGGUGUUUUCGCCGGCCGACACGGCUAGGGAGGCGUCGACGCCGCUUCUCGCAGCCGUUGGUGCGUCCGGACUGGGGGUACAUGCCUCACCGGCCCCCACAGCGUUGGGAGGGCUGGGUGGGGCCUCUGCAGAUUCUGCCCACGCUUCGGUGCGCGGCGGCCGGGCCGCUCCGGAGCCGGCGACUGCUGGCGGAUCGCCGGUGUUCACGCGGCAGGCAGUAACGUCGGUUACUACUUCUGCGCCGGUGACGGCGGCUCAGGGCGUCGCUGUGGGGGGAGGGGCAGGUGGUCUCUCCCUGUGCAGGGCUUCUCGCGAUGAGGUCAUCGCUUUUGGUGGCAUCCCGGACCCUGUCUCCCAGGGGAGGCGGAUCAGCGGGCGGUUGCAGGAGCAGCCGGACGUCGACGACAUUCAACUACGGUGCUCUGUGAGAGCGGCCAAGUUGCAGGACGUCGAAACCACCACUGGUAUGUCAGUCAUUAAGUCAAAUUCCAUUUUGCAUUUCACUGACAAUGAGAUCAUUAAUAAUGCAAAUCAGCUAGGAAUUUCACUUGGUAAUAAUGAUAGUCAGAUUGCUAAAUCAGUCAACGACAUUCUUGAUUUAGAAGCUGAGCGUGCGGUAGAUAUGAUUCGUCACAUAGCUGCGGUUAAACCAAUGAAUGAUUCGGAGAUUGAUGCGCUUGGGGUGAGGGUCCUAGAUGGUAUGUGUGCCGAUCUUGACCCUGAUGGUCUCGAGGCGGAGGAAGACUCACAUCCUGAUACUUCUCUCCAUGUUGAUGAGCAUUUAGAGAUGGAUGCUGAGGAUGAGGGUCAUAUCCCGGUGGUUGAUAUAGUCAAGCCUAAGCGGACAUGGAAAAUAAAGGUUUAUCCAGUCUCCGCAGUGCGUAGGAGUGCUAGGAUUCGUACUGCCAAAAAAUUUCAUGAUGACUUAUGAGAGGCAUUUUCUGGAAUAGCAGAGGUCUUAGAGACUUGGCUAAAAGGAGGUUUCUGGCGGAUGCUUCUCUGGAACAUCAUUUGGAUUUCAUUGCUUUGUCCGAGACUGGAAGAAGUAAUUUCACUAAUCAAUUUCUCGCCACUUUGUCUAGGGGGGUAGAUUUUGAUUGGCACUGCCUCCCACCUCGAGGAAGAUCCGGCGGGGUUUUACUUGGGGUUAAGUGUGAAACAUUGGAGGUAAGGAGCGUAGUUAUGGGCGAGUUCGCUGUCAAGUUUCGGGUUAGGUCUAAGGCAGAUGGGUUUGAUUGGGCUUUGGUGGCAGUCUACGGGGCUGCUCAACCCGAACUCAAACCAGAUUUCUUGGCUGAUCUGGUGCGCAUCUGUGCUAAUGAACAGUUACCUCUCUUAGUGGGAGGGGAUUUUAACAUAAUCCGAAGAAAAGAGGAUAAGAAUGAUGCCAAUUUUGAUGGUCGAUGGCCCUUUAUGUUCAAUACUAUCAUUGAGAGUUUGGAUCUCAGAGAGAUCGAACUCUCGGGUAGGAAAUUCACUUGGGCUAAUUCGUUACCGGUUCCGACUUUUGAGAAACUAGACCGAGUGAUAGCUAGUGUCGAGUGGGAACAGAAGUUUCCACUGGUAACGGUACAGGCUUUGACUCGAGGUGUCUCGGAUCAUACACCGCUGUUAGUUGAUUCCGGAGUUCAAAAUUUCGUGGGUAACAAGAAUUUCUUCUCGUUCGAAUUGGCUUGGUUCGAACGAGAAGGCUUCCUAGAGUUGUUAGCUACAGAGUGGGCUAGGGACUCUGGAGGUAGGACACCUAUCGACAAAUGGCAAUCCAAGAUUCGUCAUCUCCGUCGUUUCCUUCGGGGUUGGGCUAAACACACGCAUGGGAUCUAUAAGGUGGAGAAGGACAGACUCCUCCUUAUCAUUCAAAAUUUCGAAGCUAAAGCGGAAACAUCUAUCUUAGAUUCCACUGAGUUGGCAACAAAGAUAGAUGCGGAGAUGAAGCUUAAAAAGCUUCUCCGUGAGGAGGAAUUGAAGUGGGCUUUGCGAGCCAAGGUUCGCAAAAUCGUAGAAGGCGAGGAUAACACUCAAUUCUUUCACAUGAUUGCGAAUGGAAAGCAUCGGAAGAAGAGAAUUUUUCAAUUAGAACAAGAUGAAGGAACCAUAGUUGGUCAGGAUAAUCUCAAAGAAUACAUUACAAAUUAUUACAAGCAGUUGUUUGGUAACCCGGUAGAGACUUUUGUGGCGUUGGAUGAGUCUAGGGUUGAGGAUGUGCCUCAACUUGAGACCGCCGAGAACGAGCUAUUGACUGCUCCUUUUUCGGAGAAAGAGGUGUUUGAGGCUAUUUCUCAAAUGGAGAACAACAAGGCUCCAGGUCCGGAUGGGUUUCCGGCGGAGUUCUACAAGAAGUGUUGGCAUUUUAUCAAGGGUGACUUAAUGCCCAUGUUUCACGAGUUCUUUGAGGGUCAGCUACAAUUGUUCAAGCUGAAUUUUGGGACGAUUACUCUUCUGCCUAAGAAGACGGACGCUGUUCGGAUCGAGCAGUUUCGACCCAUCUGUUUGCUAAAUGUGAGUUUCAAGAUCUUCACUAAGGUUGGCACAAAUAGGCUUACACAAAUAGCACACUCAGUAGUUCAGCCGUCUCAGACAGCUUUCAUGCCGGAUAGAAACAUCCUGGAAGGGGUUGUUGUCUUGCAUGAAACACUCCACGAAAUCCACUCCAAAAAACUGGAUGGUGUAGUUUUUAAAGUGGAUUUUGAGAAAGCAUAUGAUAAAGUCAAAUGGCCUUUCCUGCAACAAGCGUUACGUAUGAAAGGUUUUCAUCCGGCAUGGAGAAACCAAAUUAACUCUUUAACGCAAAAAGGGAGUGUGGGGAUUAAGGUGAAUGAUGACGUUGGUCACUAUUUUCAAACUCACAAGGGCCUACGGCAAGGAGACCCUAUGUCACCGAUUCUAUUUAACAUAGUGGCCGACAUGCUGACUAUUUUAAUAGGUCGGGCAAAGGAUGCAGGACAGGUAGGUGGCCUGGUUCCGCAUCUAGUAGACGGCGGGCUAUCUAUUCUCCAAUAUGCUGAUGAUACUAUCAUAUUUAUGGAGCAUGACAUGGCGAAAGCUAGGAACAUGAAGCUGCUGCUAUGCUUAUUUGAACAAUUGUCCGGGCUUAAAAUCAACUUCCACAAGAGCGAAUUAUUUUGCUUUGGAAGAGCUAAUGAUGACCGGGAAUCGUAUCAACAAUUGUUCAGAUGUGAAUUGGGUUCCUUACCUUUCUCGUACUUAGGUAUACCCAUUCAUCAUCGUAAGCUAACCAAUGCUGAGUGGAAAUGUUUGGAGGAUCGGUUUGAAAAGAAACUGAGCUGUUGGAAAGGAAAGCUCAUGUCAUAUGGAGGGCGAUUAAUUCUGAUUAAUUCGGUCCUUACUAGUAUGCCGAUGUUCCUGCUAUCCUUUUUCUUGGUUCCGGUUGGAGUUAGGAAAAGGUUAGAUUUCUACCGAUCUCGAUUCUUUUGGCAAAUUGACGAGCUUAAGCGGAAGUAUAGACUUGCGAAGUGGGAUAUUAUUUGCAGACCUAAAGACCAGGGUGGCUUAGGUAUUGAGAAUUUGGAAAUCAAAAAUAUAUGUCUCCUUAGCAAGUGGCUUUUUAAGUUAUCAUCUGAGACGGAGGCCACUUGGGCACAACUUUUACGCAAUAAGUAUCUCUAUGCUAAAACCUUGGCCCAAGUGUCGGUGAGACCUUCAGAUUCGCCUUUCUGGAAGGGGCUAAUGAGAGUUAAACAAUUAUUUUUCAACAAGACUAAAUUCAUUGUUGGGAAUGGUACCACGACGAGGUUUUGGGAGGAUACAUGGCUUGGGGAGACUCCACUAGCACUUCAAUAUCCUUCUUUGUAUAACAUAGUCCAACGUAGAGAUGCCUAUGUGGCUACUGUUUUACAGUCUGUUCCCCUCAAUAUCAGCUUUAGGCGGACGCUUGUUGGUAAUCGUUGGGAGGCCUGGCUCCAUCUGGUUCGACGUCUGAUGGAUGUCAGAUUGUCCGCGCACCCUGAUCAGCUGCAUUGGAAGCUUACUAAGAACGGUGUGUUCUCGGUCAAAUCAAUGUAUCAGGAUGUCAUUAACUCUUCGGUCAUACCUACCUCCUUACAUGUCUGGAAAGUUAAGGUACCCUUACGUAUCAAAGUGUUUAUGUGGUUCGUGCAUAAACAGGUUAUAUUGACUAAGGAUAAUCUUGCAAAACGUAAUUGGGUAGGUCCGUCUCGGUGUAGCUUCUGUGAUCAUUCUGAAAACAUUAAACACCUCUUUCUCGAUUGUCCGUUGGCUAAGAUUCUGUGGCGGUCGGUUCAUAUUGCUUUCAAUAUCAGUCAGCCUACCUCUAUUAGUAUGUUAUUUGGAACAUGGCUAGAUGGGGUGGAGUAUGACAUUGCGAGACACAUUCGUGUUGGCGCUUGUGCUCUUUUGUGGGCAAUAUGGAAAUGCAGAAAUGACUUAGUCUUUAACAGAUCAACAAACUUUCACUUUUUGCAGGUUGUUUUCAGAGCCACAGCGUUCAUCCGUAUGUGGUCGCUACUCACUCCGACGGAGGCCAGGGAGCGUUUGGUUACUGCGUCUACCCGAUGGGAGAUGGUAGCUCGGGAUAUUUUCAACCGGUUUGGAUGGCGGUCAUGUAAUAGGAUAGAGUGAUCCUAUAGUUUUGCCAGCCGGUUGUGGCUUUCAGCUUUUCUUACUUGCAGAUUUUGUUUUAAUUUGCACUAUGACCUUUCUGUACUUUUGAGAUUGGUUUCGUAUUAUUAAUAAUAUGAGCCGUAUGCAUCAUUCUGAUGCAGAGGCUGGGGCGCGGCCCCUUUUCCAAAAAAAAAAUCAUUACUGAUGCUCAACUAGUCCACUUGACAAGGCCCUACCUCUUAGCAGUAUUCCUCCGUUGAGUCUUUUUAGAGAUUUCAGUACAGACUAUAUACGGAUGUAUAUAAACAUAUUUUAAAAUGUAGAUUCACUCAUUUUUCUCAGUCCAUACUAGAAUCUCUAAAUUAGGAACGGAGGGAGCAUAUAACAACAUGAUAAACCAGGGAUUUGAGAUCAUUAGGAACAUUAAAGAAUUAGUAGUAAAGUUCACUGCGCACUUGAUAGAGGCAAGGACACAUGCAUUAUUUGGUUCUAAUAGGACUACAUUGUCCAGAUUCUUGACAGGAAAAACCAGGGCGUGGGCGUGACAAUAUUACUAGUAUUGUCUGAAUAAAUUGUUUAUAUAUAAUUUAUAUCAAACUGCAGCCAUAUAUGGAUUUAGGCGCGUAUUCGUUUGAGAAAAAGUCCUUGAUAAAGCUAGGCAGAAGUACAUUUCUGUAUAUACAUUCAAGAGAAAGAGAUUCUACCAUGCACAAGGCAUCCUGCGCAUUAUUUGCCAUGCAGUGAGUUGGAUGUUCACACCUCCAUCAAUGUAUAUAUUCACUAUAUAGUGCGGAAAUUACCAAUGGUACUCGGGUACCUUGGUGCCCGUUUCCAAAAAACCAUUUUCUACGACCUAAUUUUUUUAAACAUACAUAGACAUGUAUACUAUGUAUGUGCAAAUUUUCAUAACAUUUUACUAACACACUUGGCAUACAAAAAAUAGUCAAAUAUGUAUUUUCAAAUGGGCCACUUUUUGUGGUUGUUAGGCCAGAAUAUUGUUUUUUUUUUGUAUAGCCUACAAAUCACAUUUUCUUUUCAAAACAGAAUUUCAUGGAUCAAUAGUGAACACAUAAAAGUUUCCACACUUUUUUGAAACUUUUAAAUAUGGUUAUUUAUUUAUUUUUCAAAAAAAUGUCCUCCAUGGUGCUCGAGCACCAUAACUUCGCACUCCUAAAUAGUGUUGAUUUCACAUGACACCUUUUUCCAUCAUGCGUGGGAAUGUUUUCCCUAGAUUCCCUCCACCUCACUACUCCCUUGCCUCUCACACCGCACACACAUCUCAAGUACAUGGAUAUAUUUUCCUUCUUAUACUUGAAACAAUUAUACAUUGAAACAAAUCUCGGAUAAAUAUUACGCUUGAGCGUGUGUGGUUCUUUUGAUGAUAUCUGCAAAGCAAGCCUAAUAUCGAAUAUGCUUUUGACAAUUUUGAAACACGGCGAAACUUAUAGGAAAUGGCCCGAACCACAAGAAACACAAUGCAACAUUAUGAUACACACACACUGGAACAAAUUAGCACACAAGCAGAAAAGAAACAUUAUAAUGGCUCCAAAACACGACGAAAUCCAAAAACAUUCGGUGAAGCACAACGAAACAUUGUGGUGUGCAACUGAAGAAGUCAGAAAAAUAAGGCAACACACAAGUACAAAACCAAACAUUACAAUGCAGCACAAAAUACGGUGAAACCCAACAAAAUUGGUUAAAGCAUACCCAAAAGCAAUGAGACAUUGUGGUGCACACCAGAUUAAGGCAGCACACCGACACAAAAUAAAACAUUAUGGUGUGCUCUAAAACAUGACGAACCCCAACAGAAUUAGGUAAUUAUUACUCUUAUAUUAUUGGAAGUUGAAUUUGUGUGUUACAUGUUAGAUGGUGCACUAAAUACAGACCACUCCUCAUAUGAAUAGUAAAAACUAUAUUGCAUUUGUGUUGUGAAUAAAUUUUAAAAAAAUUGGUCCUGUUUUACAGAACUCUUCUGAAUAAGCAUAAUUGUUUGAACAAAAUGUGAAUCAAGGUUAGCUUUUGUUACGAAAGAUAUCAGGCAUCAAAUUUCCAAAUGAAACUCAACUAAUUGUGGCUACCUUGGAGAGAGAAUCUGGCUUGGUUGAUACUUGCUAGGGAAUAUAAUAGCACAUGGUAAGAUGUUAGGUGAGAGAAAUUACUAUGCAUAUCCCAAUGAAGCAUGCAUGCACGAACCAGUGUCUUCACCAUAUGCACAACAACGGUGGUGGGGCGCUUGCAUAUAUACUAUGAAUAUCCAAGCGACUGAAAAGAUAAGGAUGCUAAAUAGCUAGUGUUUUCUGGCACUCCUUAUAUCGCAUUUCAUGUUUCUAUUUUGGUGCAAUGGGACGAUCAGCACAUGAUGCCUGCUGUUGCUGUAGGCUAGGUAACAUGCAUCCAAAACAUUUUGGUGCAAUGGGACGAUCAUAACUCACACGCAUCCCGGCUACAUGUGUCAAACAAAAUGAGAAACAUGGACCAUGAGUCCAUGUCCAUGCAUGUCUCCAUGAUGAUGAUGAACAUCAGUGUUAAGAUCACAGUGUUGAUGAUAUCUUGAUGUCACAACUUUGUUCGUCCAACCCAAUAACAUGCAUCUGGGCGAACAAUUUCCUUGAUAUAAUUCUAACGUUGAAGAUAUUUGGUUGAAUCCAUCAUUACUGAUGCUCAACUAGUCCAUGUGACAAGGUCCUAACUAGUAGCCUUAAUAAUAUAUAACAACAUAAUAAACCGGGAAUUUCAGAUCAUUAGAAACAGAAUAGAAUUAAUAAAGUUCAUUGCACACUUGAUAGAGCCAAUAACACAUGCAUUCCUAGUUCUAACAUCACACUGAUAAAGAGUAGUGAUAUCAUCACCACAAACAGAAGGGGGGAAAACAGUGAAAUCAAGGUAGUAACAUGCAUGCUCUACAACCUUGAUAAGCAAGCUAAGCUCUCGCGGAGCCAUUAUUGACAGAUCGAGCUCGCAAUCUCAUACAUAGCAGUACCAAAUGUUUCUUGCAAUACAUCAUCGAACCCAAAUCUAGUGAUCGACUACUAAGUAGUAACUGCAGGGAGGGAUCCAUACUAUAGAGAGUCCCGUAGCAGCUCCGGGUUCCGGCUCAAGCCAUGCCUUCCUGCGCUGCAGGCUGCAGCUCCUCUAGCUAGGCACCGCAACCGCCACCGCACCCUCCGCCACCGCCCCCUCCGCCUCCGCCCGCAGCAAGAAAGAGGAAGGUAUUACCGCCGGCUGAUUUGGUCGACGAACUUGCAGUGGUCGCCGCCGCCCGCUUUGCACUGGCCUUCUUCUUCUUGGAGGUGUCGCCGCAGAGGAAGACCGAUAUGACCAGCACCACCAGCAGUAGAAGGAGCCACGGAGUCUGCUGCGCCUGCGCCCCGAAGCCCGCUGCAGCGGCGGAGGCAAGAAAGGCUCGCGCCAUUGUCCCUCUCCCUCCCUGACCUCUAGCUACCACUGGAUAUCUCUCUGGAAUUUGAGUUUGGAUCAAGUGCAGAGGAAGAUUUGAGGAGGAAGACAGAGUAGCGAGCGAGAGAGGAAGAGGAACAGAGCACAGCCAAAUCUCAGCAC